GCAAACUAUCCUGCCUAUCCUGCUCUCAGUAACAUCAGAUCCAAGACACUGACACUAUCUAUCUAGGCUGUGAUGCAAUGCUUAUUUUAACUUGAACACAUUGUUACCUCACCUACAACUCUUUAGCAUACAAGGUGGCAAACUAUCCUGUCUAUCCUGCUCUCAGUAACAUCAGAUCCAAGACGCUGGAACCUAUGUCUCUCGUCUGUGAUGCAAUGCUUAUUUUAACUUAACAUUGUCACCUCACCUACACCUCCCAAGCUUACUCUGUGUGAAGAAUGACGUGUACCCUCUGCUGCUGCCCCGCCCUUAGACUAGUAAAAGGUUAUCAUGAUGGGUGCAGUAAUUAACAUAAGCUUUAUUCUAAGUGGAGGUGAGGAUACAAGACAUGCGACAAUGUUACACGGAUGAUGAAAAGAGCAGGGUGAUGCGCCCACACCUCCCUGCCACGCCUCGACAACACCAGUACAGAGGGAUGGAUGGCGACAACACCGGCCAUCAGGAUUAAUACAAAACCUCUACACUUCACCUUUUUUCCCUCAAGUUAUUUCCUCCUCUCCUCUCUCUCUUUUUUCCUCCUUUCUCCAUAUUCCUUCAACCAUUAAAUUUGUUCUUUCAGUCACCGUUUCCUCACUCUCUCCUCUACAUUUCACCUCUUCUGUUGAGUUCUUUCGUCCUCUUCUCUCUCUCUGUUCUUUAUCUUUACCUCCCUUUCCUCCUCCUCCUUCCUCCACAUUCCUUCAACCACUCAGUUAUUUCAGUUAUCGUUUGCUCACUCGCUCUUCUACAUUUCACCUCUUGAGUUCUUUGGGCCUCUCCUCUCUCUCCUUUCUCCAUAUUCCUUCAACCACUCAGUUAUUUCAGUUAUCGUUUCCUCACUCGCUCUUCUACAUUUCACCUCUUGAGUUCUUUGGGCCUCUCCUCUCUCUCCUUUCUCCAUAUUCCUUCAACCACUCAAUUUGUUCUUUCAAGUCAUCCUUUCCUCACUCGCUCCCUCCCUCACAAGACCAAAAACAAACAGCAUCUUUUGUAUAAUUUAGCGAGGCAUGCGGUGAUGGGUGACUGGAUGUAUGUCGAGGGAAGCGGAAACCACGAAUAACACCGGCCCUUCACGGCGUACGAGAACACUAGACCGAGUAUAUGUACGGUGGAUGUGUAUACCAGGAUCUAAUACCACCGUGAAUGACAACACACACGUGCACACACACACACACACGCAGGCGCUCAGGGCAGACGAUGGAAUGUAUGCGGCUGAACAGAAUGAGAUGAGGGCAUUCCUAUCGUGCGAACAGAUGGAUUUGUACAUGGAUGAGGAUGCGGAUGUGUCUGUCUGUCUGUGUGUGUGUAUGUGUGUGUGUGUGUGGGUCUAACACCAAAGCAACAAGCAGGUCUGUGAUUACGGAUGACUCGGAAGUUUCUAACAGAUGACAAUGUACUUCCCUCUUGCAUAGAGCACCCACACAACCACCUCCACAACCACCUCCACCACACCCCUCCACAAUCAUCCACCUAUCUUAACACCUACGCCCAUAUUUUUAAACCUGUCGACGCUCGGUUUGCCGGUAUUGAAAAAUCUUGCUCGGAAGUUAGUGGGGAUUUUCACGGACUGUUUUAUGACGCUGGGGAUAGUUUUACGUUACGCCCAUGCCUUGAACGGGACAACACACCCAUGGAACUCGGUUAAUCAUCUGUGGCCUUGGGAAAUGGAUACAAUGGGUGCAGUAUAAAUUUAAGAGCAGUAUUCCAAGGGGUCAUAAUCUUACACAUAUUUGACAAGGCUUUCGUGGGAGCUAUGGGCAUUUCCAUGGGUAGUUUUAUGGCCAACUUUAACAAAACCUAGGCUUUCGUGGGAGCCAUGGGCAUUUCCAGGGGUAGUUUUAUGGCCCUUCUU